rnacentral:lncRNA from 1 species
AUGUUUUUUAUUUUUCGUUUUGAGAUAGGGCCUUGCUCUGUCUCCCAGGCUGGAGUGCAGUGGUGCAAUCAUGGCUCACAGCAUCCUCAAACUCCUGGGCUCAAGCAAUCCUCCCAAAUUUGGGAGGCCUUGACUUCCCAAAUUGUGGAUAUGUUUAAUCUGAAAAAAAAAAAAUACAAAUUAUUUCACUGCAACUUAAAAAAUUGAAAAUAUUUUAAAAUAUUAAUAAAUAUAAUACCUGUCAAAAUUCAUGGUAUGUAAUUAAAGGCAUGCUGAAUGAAAAAAUUUUAAUUUUAAAUACAUAUAUUAGAAAAGAAGAAAGAUUAAAGUUAAUGAAUUGUCUCAAGAAAUCAGAAAAAAACAGUAGAUGAAUCUUGAAGACAGUGGAAGAGGAGAACAGAAAUCAUAGAGAGACAAGCAAGAAAUCAAUGGUAGAUUUUAAAAAAUGAGAUAGAGGCAUCAAAACGAAAACGGGGUACUUUGGAAAGAGUAAUAAAACUGACAAACUCCUUCCUUCUGAGACUGAUGAAGAAAAAGUUUAAAAAGAGAGAAUGCAGAAAUACCUAAUAUUGGAAAUGAAAAGGUUAUAUUUCUACAGAUCCUAUGUUCCCAACUUUAUGCCAAUAAAUUUGAAAAAUAUGUAAAAUGAAUAAAGUCCUAGAAAAAUAGAACACUAAAACUAAUGCAAGAAGAAAUAGAAAUUAUAAAUAUUCUAAAUAAAUGUAUUGUAUUUGCCAGUCUUGUGAAAUAAAGUGCUAAUUUUGUCACCUUUCCUGGAGAAUAAAAUAGAAGAAAUAUGUCCAAGCUUACUUUAUUAGGUCAGUAUAAUUUUCAAAAUGAAAAUUUUUAAAGAAUAUUAAAGAAUGAAAAUUAUAGGCCAAUUCAUUUAUGAUGAUGAUAUGAAAGUCUGCAAAUUCAAUCAGAAAUUUGAAUCAGCCAAUAGAUAAAAAUAUUGACCUCAUUUGAUUUAUUUCAGAAAUAUGAGGUAGGUUUAAUAUUAGAAAAUCAGUCGUUGUAGUCUACAUUAACGGCAUAAAAGAGAAAAUGUUGUAAUCAUCCAAAUGAAUUCAGAAAAAGUGUUUGAUGAAACUUAAUGUUACUAAUGGUAAAAGCUCUUCUUUUAGAAUAAGACCUCCUUAAUCUCAUUUCAAAUACAAGAUAUUCUAAAACAAACUACAGCAAAUAUAAAAUUCAAUGGCAAAUAUUAAAAGCUUUCUGUUUGACAUAGAAAAUAAUGUAAGGGCACUACUUAUCAUUACUUUGAGUCAGCAUUUUCGUAUGGGUCCUAGCCAGUGCAAUAAAUCAAAAUAAAAUUAAAAUACAAUCAUUUGAAAGGAAAGAAAAUGUAUCAUUAAUGUACA